AUUGAACGCUGGCGGCAGGCCUAACACAUGCAAGUCGAACGAGUGGCGGACGGGUGAGUUAUGUGUGGAAAACUGCCUGAUGGAGGGAGAUAACCACGAGAAACGGUAGCAAAUACCGUAUACCAUGGUGUGUGCAGAGAGGGGAUGAGCUAGUAGGUGGGGUAAAGGCUCACCUAGGCGAAGAUCCCUAGCUGGUCUGAGAGGAUGACCAGCCACACUGGAACUGAGACACGGUCCAGACUCCUACGGGAGGCAGCAGUGGGGAAUAUUGCACAAUGGGCGCAAGCCUGAUGCAGCCAUGCCGCGUGUAUGAAGAAGGCCUUCGGGUUGUAAAGUACUUUCAGCGGGGAGGCGUUACCCGCAGAAGAAGCACCGGCUAACUCCGUGCCAGCAGCCGCGGUAAUUC
rnacentral:rRNA from 1 species